AAUCUAUAAUUUUAAUUUGUUAUCUGAAAAUAUCCAUCUACAAACCGUUAAUGUUGAAAUGAACGGUCAAUAUUAGUUUCAUAAAUCUAUAUAAACCUAAGACCACAUACAAAAAUCAUUCAUCCAUCUCUACCUUAUAUGACCAUGCCAUAUUACAACAUCUCAUGUUUCCUCAGCAUACAAAAUGAAGGCUUCAUCUUAUUUCAAAAUCUGUCGGUAAAGCUGUUGCUAAGAGUGGUGGAUCGUGUUAACAAAAGUAUCUCAACAUCUCUUAAUGGCGAUACCGCACUACACCAACAAUCAUCACCAUUGUCGACGUUUGUGAAUGCCAAAGUGGUCAAGAAUGAAGGCACGAAGUUAAUGAAAGGUAAUGAAAUAUUUGAUGUAAAAGGAUUGAAGAUGCUAGAGUCAGAGGCGAUUCACUUCUCUUUAUGCAAAUAAAUGGUAGUGAAUCGUAUUUGACCUUCUAUCCUCUUCUGCAUGAGAAUGAAUAACAAUAAUGGAUCCUUUCUAGCAAACGGCAAGGGAUCUUAAAUUUCCAUUCUCGGCCUUAUGUAAAGGAGUAUUUGACGGCAAUAAAUCUUCUUUGCAACAUCGACGUCUUCCUCGAUCUUCCUGUGAGCAAACGACGAUAUAUCUCCUUCUUGACGAUAU
rnacentral:lncRNA from 1 species